rnacentral:rRNA from 1 species
CCUACGGGCGGCUGCAGUGGGGAAUAUUGCACAAUGGGGGAAACCCUGAUGCAGCGACGCCGCGUGAGUGAAGAAGUAUUUCGGUAUGUAAAGCUCUAUCAGCAGGGAAGAAAAUGACGGUACCUGACUAAGAAGCCCCGGCUAACUACGUGCCAGCAUCCGCGGUCAUCCGUAGGGGGGCAGCGUUAUCCGGAUUUACUGGGGGUAAAGGGAGUGUAGACGGCCAGACAAGUCAGAAGUGAAAGCCCAGGGCUCAACUCUGGGACUGCUUUUGAAACUGCCGGGCUGGAGUGCAGGAGAGGUAAGCGGAAUUCGUGGUGUAGCGGUGAAAUGCGUAGAUAUUAGGAGGAACACCAGGGGCGAAGGCGGCUUACUGGACUGUAACUGACGUUGAGGCUCGAAAGCGUGGGGAGCGAACAGGAUUAGAUACCCGAGUAGUC